GCGCACGGGUGAGUAACACGUGAAUAACCUACCCUGGAGUGGGGGAUAACUGGGAGAAAUCCUAGGUGAAUACCGCAUAAUACCUACGGGUCAAAGGAGCAAUUCGCUCUGGGAGGGGGUCGCGGCCGAUUAGUUAGUUGGCGGGGUAAUGGCCCACCAAGACGAUGAUCGGUAUCCGGCCUGAGAGGGCGCACGGACACACUGGAACUGAAACACGGUCCAGACUCCUACGGGAGGCAGCAGUGGGGAAUUUUGCGCAAUGGGGGAAACCCUGACGCAGCAACGCCGCGUGGAGGAUGAAGUCCUUCGGGACGUAAACUCCUUUCGAUCGGGACGAUUAUGACGGUACCGGAAGAAGAAGCCCCGGCUAACUUCGUGCCAGCAGCCGCGGUAAUACGAGGGGGGCGAGCGUUGUUCGGAAUUAUUGGGCGUAAAGGGUGCGUAAGCCGGUUUGGUAAGUCUGAUGUGAAAUCUAUGGGCUCAACUCAUAGUCUGCAUCGGAAACUGCCGGGCUCGAGUAUGGGAGAGGUGAGUGGAAUUCCUGGUGUAGCGGUGAAAU
rnacentral:rRNA from 1 species